AGCCUAGUGGUUAAGGCUAUGGAUCGCCAAUCCGGAGACGGCGGGUUAGAUUCCCGU
rnacentral:tRNA from 1 species